GCGGGGGUAGCUCAAUUUGGUUAGAGCGUUGCCUUGUCACGGCAAAGGUUGCGGGUUCAAGUCCCGUCCCUCGCG
rnacentral:tRNA from 1 species